rnacentral:lncRNA from 1 species
AACUCAGUGUCUUUCCUAACAGUUACUGAACUCAUCACUUACGUUUAUUUUUUUUUUCUUCAGAUAUAGAGUGAUAGAUCCAAGAUCUAGAACACUCCUUUGUUUUCAGUGACCCCCCCCAAUCUCAAGGGAAAUGGGGGCAGAGAGAUGUCAUCCUUAGGGAGAAGGGAGAGCUUUGCUCCAGCUGGUGCUGUGCACGAGAUGGGGUGACGCUGUCCCCAGGACUGGGGACCAAGCAGGUCCAGAAGCAGAAGCAAAUCUCCAUUUAACCUAAAUGCUGCAUUUCCAGGACAUCAAGCAAAUAUAUAUUUGGCCUUCCCCACUCCAUUCAAAGAUGUUUAAGUAACAGAGGCCAAAGAGAAUUUUAAAAAUGUUUUCCAGAGGCUGCGGAUGUGGCUCAGUGAUAGAGAGCUUGCCUAGCGUGUGUGAGGCCCUGGGUUCCACCAUCCACAGCACUGAAAAAACCUUAUUUUUUUCAAAUAUAUAUUUUUGGAAAUUAGGUGCUGAUCCCCCCCUUGUAGUGUUAGAAAAUCUGAUUCUCUAUUGAUUAAAUGUAAAUAUAACAAGUCUUCAAGAAAGGAAGAACCUGGGAACAUGUGGAGUAGCUUAUCAAUUAUCUACUCACCUACGUAUUUGGCCAAAGAUUGUAGAGAAACAGGAGGAUGUAAAAGUAAUAAGUAGAGGAAAUCGCCUUUGCUAAACUAAUCAGACUCAUGGAUGACUUUGUAUUUCUGCGGCACAGGCUGGCAUAAUUCAUCUUGGCAAAAUCUCCACUGCACCCUUGUGUUUUAGUAACAGCAGAAAAAAAUAUCAAAGUGUUUCAAAGAUAUGUGGGCACUUCCACAGGCCGACAGGACUGAAUCAGGAGACCCCUAGGUUAAUCAACGGGGGCUCAUUUAGCUUCUGUUUUUAUGGGAACUCAACUGAGGAUCUGCCCACGUUCCCAGCCCUUACUGAUCCCUCUGGUUCAAAGCACAAGUGUUAAGUGGAAGAUCCUAUAGGAGAGCAGAGACCAGAAAGCUCCAUCUGACAAAUCUUCCAAAAAUCUUCCUUUAGAUUGAACAAAUAACUGGCUCAAAUCAACCUUUUGCAUUUUA